ensembl:snoRNA SNORD79 Small nucleolar RNA SNORD79
CAUUGUUGAUGAUGACAUACAGUUAAAACAGAUGGGAAUCUCUCUGAAAGAACUGGUGCCCAUAUGAGAAUCCCAGUG